CAUUAGAUUGGUCAUUCAUAUCUUCAGCUUCCUCUUCAUCAUCUGACUGUUCUUCAUCAGAUGUCAAAACUUGCUGUGCUCUACUACUGGAUUUAAACAUCGACAGCAGCUGUGUGUAAGUUACCUCCACCACGAGUCGAUUUGUUACCACGCGAACCGUGGUUUUUGUAAUUGCCACGUUUAGGCCCUCCUCGUCGUCCACGUCCCAUUUUAAGAACAAAAUAACGUUCGAAUUUAAUUUAUCUGAAAUCAAAACUCAAACUCAAAUGCACGUGUUAAUGAAAACUUUGAUUGCAGACGUCCAAAGUUGCAAGAACAACACAGUUGAUCAAUUACAAUUUAACAGUGUGCUGCCAAAAAUGUAACAAAAAUAUAUUUAUUUAAAUAU